GCCCGGGCUCACCACCCCACAGGGUGAAAACUGUGACCAGCUUCUCCCCAGGAGAAGCCAGCUCGGAGGUGGAGUGACAAGUGUGGGACUUUGGUGACAAGUGUGGGACUUUGGUGACAAGUGGGGGACUUCAGGUGACAAGCCUUCUCUUUGAUGUCUGUGAAAAGGGUGCCCAGGAUAGAGGGACAGCCACCAAGACUUACCCAGCAGCUGGGACACCGAGCCACCUCCAACCCAGAGCUGGCCCCUCAGGGAGCUAGGGCAUGGAGGCCCCCACAGGAGUGGAUGGUGGCAGCAUCACCCAGCGGUCAAGUGCUCAUGCCUUGGCCUGCGACUCUGUUGGGUUCAAGUGCAGCCUUAUUAGUACUGAACUGACUGGCUUUGGGCAGGGUAGCUCCCCUGUCUGGACCUCAGUUUCUUGAUCUGUAAAAUGGAGGUAACAAUGCACACUGGGCCCUGCCUCGCGGGAUGAGGAUGUAACGAGAGUGUUAACGGGCAUGCAGAAGUUAGUAGAUGCUUGACAAAUGGCAAGGCUUGGCAGACCACAGCUGUCAUGGCUUCCUAGCAAGCAGGCUCUGGUACUGAGCAGACGCAUCGCAAAGCAACCGGAGAAUCAAGGAAGGCUUUGGAGCAGGGGCCGGUGAACGCAGCUGUCUGUGGAAGAGCCCUGCUUUGAGAGCCAAGAGCCCAGCUCAGUUCCUCUGAGCUGUGAGAACCAAAACACCACAAGGUGGGAGGCUUACAAACGGUCACUUAUCUCCCACAGUCCUGGAGGCUGGGAUGUCCCAGGCCAAGGUGGAGCAGGUUCGGGGUCUGGUGAGGGCCCGCUUUCUGCUUCAGAGCCAGCACCCUCUUCCUGUGCCCACACAGGUGGCAGAGGCAAGCAAACACCUGCUGGCCUCCAUCACGAGGACACGGAUCUCACUCACCCCAUGACCUCAUCACCCCCAGCCUCCUACUGCCUGACACCAGCCUUGGAGUCUGGGGUUUCACCAUAUGAAUUUGGGGUUGCACAGACUUUCAGACCAUAGCACAGGUGCUGGAGACAUGGCAGGGGAUACGCUGUGGCCCUGCUGUCACGGUGCCCAUGGGGCUGGGAAGACUACUGCGUCACACGCUUGGAGCCCAGCCCAGCUCUGUGAGAGGUUGCCCGGAGGCCUGACAGCAUUUAACCUAGACCCCUGGCCCUGGGAAAGUCUCUUGGGGCAGGCCAUAUCACAGCCCGGUUCCUUUACUGCAGGAAGCUGGACGCCCAGGACAGCCAAGCUGCUGCUGCAAGAUGCGUUGAUCUCAACAAAAGUCCCAUCUCCUGGGCUCCCUUUCCGCCCACAAGCCAUCAGUGUUGCAGACUACUGCUCAGCCCAGAGUGGCAUAGAUGUCCUCUCCGUGGCGGAGCUGUGGCUUCCAUGCAAAGUUCACCACGGAAAAUGUGAUGCCUAAUACAUCGGAGCCUUCUCUGCUUUAAGUCAUUUUUAAACCGCAAUCGCUGCACACAAUAUAAUUAUUACAAACUGGUCAUUUGUAACAGAGAAAUCUCAUUAAGAUGAUUUCAUGCUGGAAAGCAGGUGGACGGGGGAGGCGAGGGGGUGGCGGUGGCGGUGACAGGCAGGGGGCUGGGGGAGAGGGAAGCUUGAGGAAGGCUUGGAGAGGGCUGGGGGAUGCUCUUAAUUACAGACUGAUUAUUUCUGGUGAUUGAGCAGGUAAUAUAAUCAGCUCAAUGUUUUCAGGCCAGAGCGGAUGGAGCAGGGACAGGCGGGGUGAUAAGGAGUGAGGGAUCUUCCAGACGGGACAAGCAGCAGAGGGGUUGGGGCAGUAGGCUUCCUGCGUCAGACCUUUGGCUGGCCCCUGGCCUGGGGAGGUGGCCACAGAGCUCCUGUAUCACCUGUGGAGGGAACAGACUGUGUGGCCCUGGGACAGCUGUGGUCACUCGUCACAGCGGCUGGACGCAAGGCUCAGAACUACAGGACCUGGGUUCAAGAUUCCAGCUCUGAUCCUGGAAGCUGGAGACUGGAGAAUCUGUCUGCCCAGCACACCCACGCCUGGGCCUCCCAAGGGUGGGAUGGGCACCAUCCCCACCGCACCAGCCCUGCAGACCUGCGGAAGCCUCACCUGCGACCACGCCUACGUAGACCACUUCAUCUGGCACCAAGCGGGCCCUGGAGAAUCCGUCAGAUUUAAAUGUUCUGACAAAGAUCAUGAGAUGUGGAAAGCAGGGGUUGGGACAAGAUGGUGAAUCCCUGUCCUGGGAGGACAUUACAAAUAAGAGAAGAGACCUUCUGUACCAGGAGACAGGUCCAGAUCCGAGGUGGGGAGGGGAGCAGGGAGGCUCGGCUCUGCACAGAGCCACGUGCGCUAGGCGCCUGGCCACGGCUGUGCAGCCGGUGCUGGGCUCUCGGCAGGUCUAUGGGGUCAGCAUCUUAGGAUUUUGACCCCUGUUCCU
ensembl:lncRNA